rnacentral:lncRNA from 1 species
GAAAAAUGAAUCUUGUUAUGUUUAAAAAAAAAAUUAAGGGCCCCAAAGGGACAACACACAAAUACUCAGAAAACAAAUACAUCAAUUGUGAAAUUCAUAUUCUUACUGGCCUUCUUUAGUAUAGAUACAGGCAUUUCAAAACAAACUCUUCAAUCAAUCAUGAACAUUUUUUAAACAAAGCCAUCACAAUAUGUUUGAGAAGAAUGUACAGUACACAUCCACUUGUACAGUGUGUCCCAUGUCUUGUACAGUGUGUCCCCGGUCUUGUACAUGUGUCCCCUGUCUUGUACAGUGUGUCCCAUGUCUUGUACAGUGUGUCCCAGGUCUUGUACUGCGUGUCCCAUGUCUUGUACAGUGUG